rnacentral:rRNA from 1 species
UACGUAGGGUGCGAGCGUUAAUCGGAAUUACUGGGCGUAAAGCGUGCGCAGGCGGUUGUGUAAGACAGGUGUGAAAUCCCCGGGCUUAACCUGGGAACUGCGCUUGUGACUGCACAGCUAGAGUAUGGCAGAGGGGGGUGGAAUUCCGCGUGUAGCAGUGAAAUGCGUAGAGAUGCGGAGGAACACCGAUGGCGAAGGCAGCCCCCUGGGCUAACACUGACGCUCAGGCACGAAAGCGUGGGGAGCAAACAGG